rnacentral:rRNA from 1 species
AUGUGUUCAUUUUAGUCCAAAGGGCAAGGUUUCUUUUACAUCCCUGAUUUUGGUGUGGAUAGGCAGCCUAGAGAGCGCAUUUUCAAUAUUGUUGUCACUAUUACUGAAGGGUCCGCUCUCACUAAAGAUAUUGAACAUGAAUUGAGCGUGUAUGUGGGUCAGGGGUGGAGGUGUUCAGCUAGAUUCUUUGCUCCGCAAAAAAUUGUUAUGAGAAUGCCGAACCCUAGAGAGGUUGACAAAGCUCUUUUUGUGGUACAUGUUAGACUUAAACAAUGUGGAGUUAGUGUUAAAUUUUCCCCAUGGUCCGAAGAUAUUGAUUCUGAAGGACUUCUGGAAGUUGCAUGGGUCAGAAUUGGCAAGAUCCCACCUAACAAAAGAUCUGAUAAAGUUGUAGCCUAUGUGAGGGGUUGGUUGGGAUCACUCUGGAGGUGGAUAUAUCGACCAUUAAUCGCCCUUCUUCUGUCAGAGCAAAAAUAG